rnacentral:tRNA from 1 species
CGGGGUGUGGCGCAGUUGGCUUAGCGCACUUGCAUGGGGUGCAAGGGGUCGUCCGUUCGAGUCGGAUCACCCCGA